GUCGAAGGUGGGGCUGAUGACUGGGGUGAAGUCGUAACAAGGUAUCCGUACCGGAAGGUGCGGAUGGAUCACCUCCUAACAGGGAGACAACACAAUGAUUUUGAUGCCUGAGUGCUUUUAUUCUUAGGCCGAAAUCCUGUCACCUUAGGUCGAUCGGUACCUCAGCUUUGAAGUCAAGGAUCAGCAGCAAUGUUGAUUGCUUGAUGGAGAUUUUCAGUUCCUAAACUUUGUCUAGGUCACACCCCAAAAGGGAUGAGACUCCUGGGCCAUUAGCUCAGGUGGUUAGAGCGCACCCCUGAUAAGGGUGAGGUCCCUGGUUCAAGUCCAGGAUGGCCCAUUCGGUGUUGGGGGUUUAGCUCAGUUGGUAGAGCGCCUGCUUUGCAAGCAGGAUGUCAGGAGUUCGAGUCUCCUAACCUCCACUGACCGAACUUGAUUCCCAUCUCCAAUUCUUUUGGAGUUGAGCUCGAUUGGAGUGUGAUUUAGAUGUGUCCGCUGGAUGACCCCAGCUUCCUGUCAUUCCAAGUUUUAGGUUAAAGCCUUGAAUUUGGUUGAUAAGAUGCUGGGCUCGGAUCAAAUGAUCAAGUAAUUGAUGAUUUGAUUUGAAGUUCUAGCAGAACCUUGACAACUGCAUAGGUGAGUCUGGAAAAAACAAAGCAUCUUACAGAUGCAUUGUUUUGAAUCUGAUCUUCUGAAAGGGAGAUUAGAUCUAGAACAAUGAAAAUUCUUUUGAGCAAGAGCCGAGACUCUUGAGCGUUCUUUGAUUCGUGUCGAGCGAAUCAGAGUUUGAUCUUGUUUUUAGCAAUAAAAACUUGAGAAUCUGCUUUCAACUGCGGUAAGCGUUCAGGAGGUUAAUUGGUCAAGCUACAAAGGGCUCACG
rnacentral:misc_RNA from 1 species